UGUAUUUCAGUGCUCGGUGCUGAUAAGCUUCUGGCGGGUUCGUCAUGCAUGGCAUAAAAACUUGGUAAAGAAAUGUUUGGACGAUGAGAUGCGAGCUACAAUAUCGAGAAGGCUUCAUCAGGCAGUAGAUGACAUAUGUCAACGACGAGGAACAGAUGGUACUGCAGAUUUAGAAUUUGGGAGGUUUUGGUGUGAAACUAGGAACAUUGCGAGAAGAUGGUUCAUGGUUGUUCUUUAUAUUUGAGAAGUGCAAAAGUUUUUCCAUUGAGGUGUGUAGAGAGUAAAGCUAUAGAAUGGUGUGAGUUUCGAUUUGGGUGCUAGAAGAAGAAGAAGAAAGAGAUGAAUGAAGGAGAAUGGGAGUAAGGGUAAGUAAUUGCUCCGUAAAGUUUGUUCUGUUUCCUUCUGACACUUUAGUGUUAGAAAUUGGGUGUUUUUGGUUCUACGAUGCCUAUCAAAUGUAUUGUAUUAAUCCUCUAUUUUCUUUUGUACUUGGAACUGAUGUGAACUGUUUUGGGAUUAGUUUUGGAUAUUAUACUUGUUAGAAGUGUUCUUCAAUUUAUUUUAGCCUUUAAAUUAGGUUGGUGUGACAGUUCUUGAGUUCGGUAAUUAAGUGAUUAAGGGAAUGUUUGUUUCUUUUCCCUCAAUUCUUACGGGGUUUAGAUUUUAUUGCAAAAAGCUUAGUGUUGUGAUUAUAUUUGUAAGGUCAGAGGACUUUUGAGUCUUAUGUUGGCUCUUUAUUGAUUUGAUGUUGGUGGAAAAGUUGAAUUCCAAUUGGUUGUGACUUCAAGUUAGAACUGAUGGUGUUUAGUUGUUGUUACUAUGAUUUAUUAGCCAUGUAAAUCUUGUAAAACUAUUUUGGGUUUUCUAGUUAACUUCUACUCUAUAGUUAUGAUACUGCACUUUUACUGCAGUUGAUAGAGCU